CCUACGGGAGGCAGCAGUGGGGAAUAUUGCACAAUGGGGGAAACCCUGAUGCAGCGACGCCGCGUGAGUGAGGAAGUAUUUCGGUAUGUAAAGCUCUAUCAGCAGGGAAGAAAAUGCCGGUACCUGACUAAGAAGCCCCGGCUAACUACGUGCCAGCAGCCGCGGUAUUACGUAGGGGGCAAGCCUUAUCCGGAUUUACUGGGGGGAAAGGGAGAGUGGACGGUUAAACAAGGCAGAAGUGAAAACCCUGGGCUCAACCUUGGGACUGCUUUUGAAACUGAGUAACUAGAGUGCAGGAGAGGUAAGCGGAAUUCCUAGUGUAGCGGUGAAAUGCGUAGAUAUUAGGAGGAACACCAGUGGCGAAGGCGGCUUACUGGACUGUAACUGACGUUGAGGCUCGAAAGCGUGGGGAGCAAACAGGAUUAGAUACCCGGGUAGUC
rnacentral:rRNA from 1 species